CCUACGGGUGGCUGCAGUGGGGAAUAUUGCACAAUGGGGAAAACCCUGAUGCAGCUACUCCGCGUGUGUGAAGAAGUCAUUCGUUAUGUAAAGCUCUAUCAGCAGGGAAGAAAAUGACGUUACCUGAGUAAGACUCCCCGGCUAACUACGUGCCAGCAGCCGCGGUAAUACGUAGGGGGCAAGCGUUAGCCGGAUUGACUGGGGGGAAGGGGAGCGUAGACGGCAGUGCAAGACUGGAGUGAAAGGCGGGGGCUCAACCCCCGGACUGCUCUGGAGACUGUACGGCUGGAGUGCAGGAGAGGUAAGUGGAAUUCCUAGUGUAGCAGUGAAAUGCGUAGAUAUGAGGAGGAACACCAGUGGCGAAGGCGGCUUACUGGACUGUAACUGACGUUGAGGCUCGAAAGCGUGGGGAGCAAACAGGAUUAGAUACCCCAGUAGUC
rnacentral:rRNA from 1 species